AGUUCAAGGCCAGUCUGAACUAUAUAGUAAGAUUCUGUCUCCAAGAAAAAAAAAAAAAAGAUAGACAAGUAAAGUGCCCUUAGUUUUAUAAGGGAUUUUAUGUAGCCCUUUGUUUUAGUUACUUUUCUUUUUUUUUUUUCCGUUUGUUUUGGUACUGGGGAUUGAACUCGGGUCCUUGGGCGUGCGAGGCAGGCAGCAGAACCACUGAGCUAAAUCCCUGGCCCCUUAGUUACUUUUCUUGUUCCUGAGACAAAAUACCAGACAACCAAAGAUAAAGGAGGAAAGGUUUAUUUCAGUGCACAGUUUUUAGAGGUUUCAGUCCAUAGUCUAGACUGGCUCCAAGGCAGGGCAGCAUAGCAGAGGGGUAUCACAGAGGAGAAACAGUUCAUGGCAUGGCAGGCAGAAGGCAGCAAGCAGCAACCAGUAGCCUGUUUUUCCCUUUUAUGCCAUGCAGGAUACCAGCUUUUUGGGUAGUGGCACUCAGAACUAUGCUAAUUCCAAUCAGUGAACUAAUUAAGUACCACACAGCCUUAAUCUCAGUAUCACACACCCUAGAUCCAGCCAGCUUUGAAAAACCCACUUAUGAGUGCAUGUGGCUUUGGCAGAGACAUCUAGAUAAUAAGCCAUAACAUCCUUGUUUUCAUUACCUACUGUGUUUACACUUUAACAAAAAUGACAUUUUCCUAAGGAACUUACUAAAAUAAGUGAAUUAAAGAUGGGCAUGGUGGUGUAUGCUUAUAGUCCCAAUACUUGGGAGGCAGCAGGAUCACUGUAGCCCAGGAGUUUGAGACCAGCCUGGACAACAUUGUGAGAUUCUGUCUUAAAAAGUCAAUUAGAUGGAUUAUGUGGAACAGUAGUAAAAGCUCUGGAGGGAGCUAAAGCAGGGAGAGGGAGUUGAGUGCUGAGCUAGGUGGUCAGGGUGACCUCAGUAGAAGGUGAAUCUGAGCAAACUCUUUAAAGGUAAGAACCGAGCAGUGCAGCAGUGCCAGAAAUACCUAGGCAGAGGGCCGGGGAUUUAGCUCAGUGGUUCCACCACCUGCCUCGAAAGCGCAAGGUCCCAACUUCGAUCCUCAGUACCCCCCCUCAAAAAAAAAAGGGGGAGCUAGGUGAGCAGUGAAGAGGGGAUUGUAAUAAUCCAGGUGGGAGAGAAUGGUGUCUUGGACUGGGGUAGCAUCAAUAGAAUGGUAAAAAGUAAUAGCUGGAUUUUUAUUUUUUCAGUACUGGGGAUUUAACCCAUGGCCUUUGCACUCAGCUACUAUCCAUUGCUUUUUUUUUAAAUGAUUUUGAAACAUUAUCUUGCUAAGUCUCUAAAUUGCCCAUGGUAGGCUUGAAUUUCGGAUCCUCCUGCCUCAACCUCCCAGAGUGCUGGGAUUACAGUCAUAUGCUACCAUGCCUGGCUAUUGAAUAUAUUUUGAAUAUGGACCAAAUUGGAUCUCUUGGCUGAUUCGAUGAAGGCAUGUGACCAAAGGAAAGCAGGCAAGGAUGAGUCCAAGGUUUUUGGCCUGAGCAACUGGAAGGAUGAAAUUGCCUCUAACUGAAAUAGAGAAGGCCCCCAGCAGAAUGGUAAUGGGUAGGAAGAUUCAAGUUCAGUUACAAAAAUGUUAGGUCUUUUAGUUGAAAAUCUUCAAACAAAAGUAGAGAGGUUAGAUCAGUAAACUUCAUAACCACUUGAGCGGAUACUGUAUUUAUUCUUUGUUACUUGGGAAGUUUUAGAAAAUCCUGAGCAACAUAAUAUUACCCGUAAAUACUUAGGUCUUUGGCAGAUCAGGACUUUUGUUUUCAUUUUUGACAAAACCACAGGAUUGUACCACACUUAACAAAAAUUAACAGUAAUUGCCCAGUGUUAAAUAUAUCAUUGGACUUCAGUAUUCUCUGACUUAUCGUUUCUUCAAAUGCAGACCUAAACAAGGUUCACUAAUUGCAUUUGGCUGACUUUCUCAUAAGACUUACUGUAAAACACUUCUUUCAACAUAUUUUGGUACCAUUUUAUUGAAGAAACUGGAUCAUUUGACCAGUAGAAUUUCUCACAUUCGACUUUACUGAUUAUAUAUUGGAGUGUCACAUUCUGUAGCAAUAUCCUUCAUAUUUUCUUUAAAUAUACAAAUAUAUAGAAAUAACACAAGAUGCUGGG
ensembl:lncRNA